AGGUGAUGUGGUUGCAACAUCUGUUACCCCACGGAUUGCUAACGUUGAUUUAGCUGAUCUGGGUGGCUAGGCAGGUGCCCCAAUACUUCCCCACUAAAAGUUGUACACUCCAUCAAAGAGGAUGACCUUCCCCCAUAGAAGAAGGAAGGUAUCUAUGUGUGCAAGGAGUGUAGGCGGGGCUUUACAUGGAAGUCAAACCUCACUCAGCACCAAAGGACACACACAGGGGAGAAGCCCUAUGUCUUCAGGGUGUGUGGGUGGGCUUUACAUGGAAGUUAGAUCUCACC
rnacentral:snRNA from 1 species